rnacentral:lncRNA from 1 species
CUUGACACGGCGAGCGCCCUGGCCCAUCUCAUACACCUCGACCGUCUCAGCGUCGGGAGGGCCGUCCGCGGCCUUGAUUGCGCAUGGGCCGUAUCCGCGCCAGGAACACGAUCCGCCAUGUAGGUGCGUCAGGGAGAACCAAGAGAUGACAUACUUGUCAGACUCGGCCGAACGGAUGACCUCCCAACCGGGGGCACCCUCGAUCCACCGCGACACGCGUGAUCGGUCCUUGGGCAUAUUGACCUGCACACGGUAGCCUUGGGUCGGCGAGGACGCACCGAUGCAAAUGGGCUUGCCACGUCGGUGCGAUCGCAACGCACCUGCCCAGGCACCGUACAGCCACGACCAGUCCUUGCCCGAGACCAGUGCGCGUGCAAAGGGCGGCGGGAGGCCGGCGUCGACAGGGCUCGGUAUCGGUAGGCCAUGAGGGCCGGCCGAUGCGCACUCGUACAUGGCACGCGCCUCGAUCGGCCAGUCGUCGACAGCGAGUGCGUCAUAGGCAGACAACCGGCCAGGCGGCGCAAUAAAAAGAUUGGGAAAAUCGCGCUGAAAAAGACGGCGCCACAGGCGCGGAUCGCGGGCGACCAGGUGAAAGCGUCUCGACAGCAUCGACAUGACGCAUAAAUCGCGCGCGUCCAGUCGCUGGGCGAUGUCCAGGGCGAUUUCGUCGGGCAGGCUUAUUGUGCUCAUCUGAUCGGUAUUAAAUCCCACAAAGAGGUGAUGGGUGCGCAGAGGCCAAAAGGUCGUCUUUGUGGGCACAGAAAAGAG